rnacentral:lncRNA from 1 species
UUUUGUUCCAGCAGGUUUUGCUUGUGAACUUAUGAACUGUGAGCAUCUGGGCUGAUGGCCCAAGGAAACAGCUUAUCAUUAAUCUAUACGAUGAGUAUCUCCGAGUCAAUUGCUUUCUCUGAUCCCUGUCCAUGAAACUGGCAAGAAUGUGUGUGCUAUCAACAUUCCACGCAAGGGAAGGGGAGCUGAGUACAGAGGCAGAAAGCAGCAACAUUUCUUCAGCAGCUAAUCUAGCUCCCUCAUCUAAAGUCACAGAGGUCCCAAGGCAAGAAAGAAAGAAAUGGGCAUGCCUGCAAGGUGACAACGGGCUCCCACAGACAGCUCCUCAUGGAGAAGCCAGUAUAAAGAAUGAAGGAGAGGACAAUGAGCCAGCUUUGAGGAACGGUCGUGAACAGACUCAGCCAUACCCACAUGUACAAACGAGACACACAACGACUUGUCACUGGCCACGUGGAUGUUAUGACUGCCAGCGUGCAAACAUGGCAACGCACACUCCGAGAAGUUCAGGUGGGAACAGGUCCUCUUCUUCCCUGAUUUGCAUCCACCUGUAGGGAGUCUUGCACAGCAGGGCCAGGGUUGAAGAGGGCAAACCAAGGUCUCUGCUUCGUUGGUUCACUGGGUCAAUGAUUGGCAGUGGUGAGAGUGGGUAGUCAAUUUCCAUGAGUACAGUGUGUUGGUAGGAGUUCACAG